UACGUAGGCAGCAAGCGUUGUUCGGAGUUACUGGGCGUAAAGAGUGCGUAGGCGGUGCUCUAAGUUUGGUGUGAAAUCUCCCGGCUCAACUGGGAGGGUGCGCCGAAAACUGGAGUGCUUGAGUAUGGGAGAGGUAAGCGGAAUUCCUGGUGUAGCGGUGAAAUGCGUAGAUAUCAGGAGGAACACCUGUGGUGUAGACAGCUUACUGGACCAUCACUGACGCUGAGGCACGAAAGCGUGGGUAGCAAACAGG
rnacentral:rRNA from 1 species